GUGAUUGUUUGGAAUAUUUAAAUGUGCUGUCCAUCACCUUGCGAAGUUACAAUGCUCUCCAAAGACUUUUGAGCUCCGUUAAGUUACAGAGUUGUACUCAAUCUCUAUUCCUUAACGGUUUUUAUGAGUCAACGUCGUUCAAUAUUGCAGCUCUUGCAACUCUCAAGCAUCUUUUUCAACUAGAAAUUAGUGAAUGGGACGGCUCUGAUAUGGUGAAGGUAGGGAAUGUACAAAAAAUACGGGAACCAUCUAGUUUCUACAAUCUUCACGAUAUAAGACUAUCAAAUUGCAACUGUUUGAGGGAUUUGACAUGGAUUGCUUUUAUUCCAAACCUCAAGUUUCUUUCUAUAGACAGUUGUGAUGCGAUGAAAGAAAUCAUCAAUGUUGAAAAAUUGGGUGAAGUUCCAGGGAUGAUGUCAGAUCUAAUCCCUUUUCAGAAACUCCAAUUUCUUGUGUUAAAUUGUUUGAAGAAUUUGAAGAGCAUCUUUGCGAAGGCCUUGCCCUUCCCACAUCUCAAGGAAAUUUAUGUAUUUUACUGCCCAAUGCUUAUGAAGCUUCCAUUGGAUGCCAAUAGUGCAAAGGAACAUAAAAUUGUUAUCAAGGGAGAGGAAAAGUGGUGGAAAAAUUUGCAAUGGGAGGAUGAAGCCACUCUGAAUGCUUUUCUUCCUUGUUUCUUUCUGAUAGAUCAAUAACAAUCGUGAAUUUAUAAGGCACUGCAAAAUGCUGUUGAAUGUGGCAUUAGAAGCUCUACUUUGUGGUGCAAACCUGUGGAAGUACAACUAGUAGCCUUUCUUUCAAUGGACGUUCAAAACGAGGCCAUUCAAAAUGAUCAGCUUGAUAAGAGGAAUGCAUGUUGUAUCACAUUUAACCGCCGAGAGGCAAAGCUUGAUACAGCUUUUGGACAGUAUUUGCAUUUUUAUGUGAGUGCUACAGAAGACAAUGCAUGCAGCCUUUUGAAGGUCAAGGAUUCCAACCUCCUGGAUCAACUUUAGUGAUACAUUCUGCUUUACCAUCAGUAGUCAGAUUAAUCUUGACAGCAUGUACUCUAAAGUCUGUGUUGUAAAGAUUUUGUAAGGAACUAAUUCAAUUCUUCCUUUCUGUGCCCAAUAAACCAUCAAUUAUUCCAGAGGAGCUAUUUAUACUACACCACCAAGUUUGAUAUUCAAAAUGGGAUUGUGUUCCAGAGGAGCUAGUUUUAGCUGUGGCACAACACAAGUGACCAGAUUUUGCACUUUUACUUGCCUGAUUGGGUUUUUUAGUUAGCUUCUUC